UACGUAGGGUGCAAGCGUUAAUCGGAAUUACUGGGCGUAAAGCGCGCGCAGGCGGUCUUCCAAGUCAGUGGUGAAAGCCCGGAGCUCAACUCCGGAACUGCCAUUGAAACUGUGAGACUUGAGGAUGAGAGAGGUGAGUGGAAUUCCCAGUGUAGAGGUGAAAUUCGUAGAUAUUGGGAAGAACACCGGUGGCGAAGGCGGCUCACUGGCUCAUUUCUGACGCUCAGGCGCGACAGCGUGGGGAUCAAACAGG
rnacentral:rRNA from 1 species